rnacentral:rRNA from 1 species
AACAAACGCUGGCGGCGUGCCUAAUACAUGCAAGUCGAACGGGGAAAGCUUUCGGGUGAGUACUAGUGGCGCACGGGUGAGGAACGCGUGGAUAAUCUGCCUUAGAGUGGGGGAUAACUAGUCGAAAGAUUAGCUAAUACCGCAUAAGACCACAGGAGCUGCGGCUCUAGGGGUCAAAGGUUUUUCGCUCUAAGAUGAGUCCGCGUAAGAUUAGCUAGUUGGUGGGGUAGCGGCUCACCAAGGCGACGAUCUUUAACUGGUCGGAGAGGAUGAUCAGUCACACUGGAACUGAGACACGGUCCAGACUCCUACGGGAGGCAGCAGUAGGGAAUAUUGCACAAUGGAGGAAACUCUGAUGCAGCGACGCCGCGUGAGUGAUGAAGGCCUUCGGGUCGUAAAGCUCUGUCGCAGGGGAAUAACACAAUGAAUGUACCCUGUAAGAAAGGAUCGGCUAACUUCGUGCCAGCAGCCGCGGUAACAC